ACGGCUCAGUAACACGUAGCUAACCUACCCUUAAGUCGAGGAUACUCUCGGGAAACUGAGGUUAAUACUCGAUAGGAGAUGUACCCUGGAAUGAUUCAUCUCUCAAAUUCGAGCUUAAGGAUGGGGCUGCGGCGGAUUAGGUUGUUGGCGGGGUAAAAGCCCACCAAGCCGAUGAUCCGUAAGGGCUCUUAGCGGAGAGGCCCUGAGAGGGAAUCUGAGACACUAUUCCCAGCCCUACGGGGUGCAGCAGUUAGGAAUCUUCUGCAAUGCGCGCAAGCGUGACAGAUUGAGCCAGAGUGAUUUUCAUUUGAAAAUCUUUUGCCAAAUGUAAAAAGUUUGGCGAAUAAGGACUGGGUAAGACGGGUGCCAGCCGCCGCGGUAAUACCCGCGGUCCAAGUCGCAGCCAUCAUUAUUGGGUCUAAAACAUCCGUAGCUUGCUUAAUAAGUUUCCUGUGAAAUUCUAUAUCUCAAAUAUAGAGCGGGCAAGAAGUACUGUUAAGCUAGAGACUGGAAGACGUAAGAAGUACGUUUGGAGUAGCGGUAAAAUGUGUUAAUCCCAGACGGACUAACAACAGCGAAGGCAUCUUACGAGGACAGUUCUGACAGUAAGGGAUGAAGGCUAGGGGCGCAAAACGGAUUAGAUACCCGUGUAGUCCUAGCAGUAAACACUGCACACUAAACAUUAGUACCUCCUCGAGAGGUGUUAGUGCUGAAGAGAAGUCGAAGAGUGUGCUACCUGGGAAGUAUAGUCGCAAGGCUGAAACUUAAAGGAAUUGGCGGGGGAGCAC
rnacentral:rRNA from 1 species